UACGGAGGGGACUAGCGUUGUUCGGAAUUACUGGGCGUAAAGCGUGCGCAGGCGGUUAUGUAAGACAGGUGUGAAAUCCCCGGGCUCAACCUGGGAACUGCAUCUGUGACUGCAUAGCUAGAGUACGGUAGAGGGGGAUGGAAUUCCGCGUGUAGCAGUGAAAUGCGUAGAUAUGCGGAGGAACACCGAUGGCGAAGGCAAUCCCCUGGACCUGUACUGACGCUCAUGCACGAAAGCGUGGGGAGUAAACAGG
rnacentral:rRNA from 1 species